GAUGAACGCUGACAGAAUGCUUAACACAUGCAAGUCAACUUGAACUUCGGUUUGGGUGGCGGACGGGUGAGUAACGCGUACAGAACUUGCCUCACAGCUAGGGACAACAUUUGGAAACGAAUGCUAAUACCUGAUAUUAUGAUUUUAGGGCAUCCUAGAAUUAUGAAAGCUAUCUGCGCUGUGAGAGAGCUUUGCGUCCCAUUAGCUAGUUGGAGAGGUAACGGCUCACCAAGGCGAUGAUGGGUAGCCGGCCUGAGAGGGUGAACGGCCACAAGGGGACUGAGACACGGCCCGUACUCCUACGGGAGGCAGCAGUGGGGAAUAUUGGACAAUGGACCAAGAGUCUGAUCCAGCAAUUCUGUGUGCACGAUGAAGUUUUUCGGAAUGUAAAGUGCUUUCAGUUGGGAAGAAAAAAAUGACGGUACCAACAGAAGAAGUGACGGCUAAAUACGUG
rnacentral:rRNA from 1 species